rnacentral:rRNA from 1 species
UACGAAGGGGGCUAGCGUUGCUCGGAAUCACUGGGCGUAAAGCGCACGUAGGCGGAUUGCUAAGUCAGGGGUGAAAUCCUGGAGCUCAACUCCAGAACUGCCUUUGAUACUGGCGAUCUUGAGUCCGGGAGAGGUGAGUGGAACUGCGAGUGUAGAGGUGAAAUUCGUAGAUAUUCGCAAGAACACCAGUGGCGAAGGCGGC